rnacentral:ncRNA from 1 species
GUCAUCGGAAGGUUGGAUCUGAAGGAAGCGUGGAGCAAACCUGCGGCCCAAUGCUCGAGCACCGGAUAGUGAGCCCACCCAGCCGGACGAGCGAGCCAAUGAUCGCAAAGUCCACAAUCGGGGUUGGGUGUUAAAUCCGGUGGGCGUGCAGGGAAGUCGGCCGAACUU